ACAGAGUCAAAACUCGCCUGACGGGACAGCGAACUUGACUUGUUCAGGGGCGUAUCAGAGGAGCGCCCCUGGAUAGCCGGCGAAGCCAGACAAAGGCAAUCGCUGCGGCGAAUUUGCGAAUUCGAUCAAAACAAGUCGCCCCACCGCACGGCGAAUAUGCAACGCACGAAAACAACAUGCGGUUCUUAACCCCCCAUUUUCCCCUUUUCGCGAAUUCGCGUGGGUUGCCAUGCACAUUUCUCGAUUGAACAACAAAAACAAGUGAAUAACUGAACUCGCAGUCAAGUAAACAAGCUCCAGGCAAAGUGUGUGUAUUUCUGUUGGAAGAACUUGAUAAUUGAUUGUAAAUGCUGACGCAAAUUAUUUGAAGAUAGUUCCUAACGGUGACAAGAACCGAGUUUGAUGUGAAAACGAAAGUGCGGGAAACCCAGAGGAAAGGGGGCCAUAGUGUGUGUGCAAAUUGAUAUAGUCCGGGGGCAUUGGAGCAGCAUGGAUGAGGAGCACGACGACGAUCGAGUAAUAUGAGAUUAGAUGGGGCUCUAGAGCCCCGGCCCCGCUACGGAGCUGAACCGUCGUUCCAUUGCCGCCUGCCAUCGAGGCGCUUGACCCGCGGACGAUGUGAGAGGACACCGUCCGUCGAUGAAGACGACGAGGCCACAGAUGCCGCAGAGAGUUUGACCAACAGCAGCAGCAGCACAAGUCGCUUGUACUUAAACCAAAAACUGGGUGUCGCAACAUUAACAACAGCCCCAAGGACACCAGCAACAGCUACACCAGCGCCGAGAGCAACACCAACAAAAAGAGGAGCAACAGGAGGACACGAUAUUGUCGCCACCCUGAAAACGCGUGCCCAGCCAUCGUUAAUGACCAUGGCGCCCAUUGUGGGUCGGAAGUCGUCGUCGUCGUCGUCGUCGCAGGGAUGGGCCAGCUCCUGGUCAUGGGCAUGGCACCAGGGUGGGAGCCAGUUCCUCCUUUGCCUGAUAUCCAUUAUGGCCCUGCUGCCGCCACUGACGCUGGGCGAUGACGGUGAUAAUUUCUUUGCCGUGAAUGCCUUUAGCGCUGGCCCGGAGACGACAACGCCAGAGUUUGAUUAUGCAAGCCGCGGCCAGAAGAAGUUUGGGGACAAGUGCGAGAAUACCUUGGAGUGCGGCUUCCCGGGCUCCAUAUGCGAUCCCAAGAAGAAGUCCUGCCAGUGUACCGAGGAUCUGCCCGUCACCAAUCACAUUGAUAAAUGUGGCAAAGAGGCCGCCGUGAACGAGUCCUGCUUCUUCAAUGAGCAAUGCGAGAUGCGUUACUUCCAGACGGAAUGCCGGGACGGACGGUGCGUCUGCCGCUUCGAGAUGUCGCCCAUUUGGGCCAAGGAUGGCUCCGUGGAGUGCAAAGGACGCCAGGAUAAGCGGGGACCCGAGACCUACAUCGAUCCGGCCAUGAUUGGCGUGCUGGUAGGAAUGGCAUUGAUGUUUGUUAUUAUUUGUGUCGUCCUGCGAUUGUUUAGCCAGGCUCGCUGGCGUGAAAACCGGACCAUCUUUAAUACCCCGAAUCCGCGGCUAAUGAACGUCUCUCUGCUGAGGGACAGCAAGCUGCUCCAUGGCCAGGAGCGUCGCGGUUCCCGGAUGUCGGUGCGGGCGCCAUCCCGGCAGCCCAGCAUGGCCUCGCUGCGUCCCCAUUCGCCGAAUCCGUCGCUAGGUAAGACAGGACGCAUGAUCCGCUCGAAGAGCAACACGCGGUCCAGUGACUCGCGGGUCAGCGAUGUGUCCACCUGCUCCCGCCUGCUGGAGCACCCGCAUCCGCACUCACAUCCGCAUCCGCAUUCGCAUCCGAGCGCCGCCAGCCAGCACAACCUGGUCCACAGCCAUUUUUUGCCCUAUGUGCCAACAACAACGUCGCCCAGCACUGUUACAGUCGCGGCCCAUACAGUCACGGCCACCACAACGUAUGCUGCCACCUCGGUAACGCCUUCGCCCACGCCCACGGCCACGCCCACGCCCACGCCUACGCCAACGCCCCUGCCCAGCACCAGCGGCACCACCUACGAUGUGUCCAUGGCGGGGACAAUGGCACCAUCAGCCUGCGGCAGAACGAACAAGUUCUAGAGAAUGCCGCAUAUAUCGCAAAGAAUAUAUAGACUAUAUAUCAUAGAUCAUGUGUAUCUGUCUGUAAAACGUAUCACAUUAUAGAAACGCAAAGAAAACGCUAAGAAACGCAUCCAUAUCGGGGUCCAAGAGGCUCACAUUCCGAAUCGCAUGGCAGUGCCAGCAACGCAUCCGCCACCUCGGUGCGUUCCAAUC